rnacentral:snRNA from 1 species
GGAUGUGAGGGCGAUCUGGCUGUGACAUCUGUCACCCCAUUGAUCGCCAGAGUUGAUUCGGCUGAUCUGGCUGGCUAGGCAGGUGUCCCCUUCCUCCCUCACCACUCUAUGUGCGUCCCUCCCGAAGCUGCGAGCUUGGUCGAAGAGGACCGGUCUUUGGUGGAGGGUUUAUGAGUAGCUGCGCUCCCCUGCUAGAACCUCCAAAACAAGCUCUCAAGAUUUGCCUUACCGCAAGGUUACUGCCAAGAUAAAUAUAGAAACUGUGUGUAUAAAACAAUAAUAUGUU